rnacentral:rRNA from 1 species
UGGUCAAUAUUCCUGUACCGAUCAAUAGUGCGAUGUGGGGACGGAGAAGGUUAACUCAGCCAACUGUUGGAUAUGUUGGUUCAAGCGUGUAGUCGUGGCUCCUAGGCAAAUCCGGGAGUCUAAGAUGAGGCGUGAUAACGAGUCUGCUUGCAGACGAAGUGAGUGAUACCCUGCUUCCAGGAAAAGCCACUAAGCUUCAGCUAUUGACGACCGUACCGCAAACCGACACUGGUGCGCGAGAUGAGUAUUCUAAGGCGCUUGAGAGAACUCUGGAGAAGGAACUCGGCAAAUUGACACCGUAACUUCGGAAGAAGGUGUGCCUUUAGUAGGUGAUCCAUUUACUUGGUAAGCCCAAUGAGGCCGCAGAGAAUCGGUGGCUGCAACUGCUUAUUAAAAACACAGCACUCUGCAAAGACGAAAGUCGACGUAUAGGGUGUGACUCCUGCCCGGUGCUGGAAGAUUAAAUGAUGGGGUGCAAGCUCUUGACUGAAGUCCCAGUAAACGGCGGCCGUAACUAUAACGGUCCUAAGGUAGCGAAAUUCCUUGUCGGGUAAGUUCCGACCUGCACGAAUGGAGUAAUGAUGGCCACACUGUCUCCUCCAGAGACUCAGCGAAGUUGAAAUGUUUGUGAUGAUGCAAUCUCCCCGCGGAAAGACGGAAAGACCCCAUGAACCUUUACUGUAGCUUUACAUUGGACUUUGAACAGAUCUGUGUAGGAUAGGUGGGAGGCUUUGAAGUAGGGACGCUAGUUUCUAUGGAGCCAACGUUGAAAUACCACCCUGGUGUGUUUGAGGUUCUAACCUUGCUCCCUGAAUCGGGAGUGGGGACAGUGUAUGGUGGGCAGUUUGACUGGGGCGGUCUCCUCCCAAAGUGUAACGGGGGAGUUCGAAGGUACGCUAGUUACGGUCGGAAAUCGUGACGAUAGUGCAUUGGCAUAAGCGUGCUUGACUGCGAGACUGACAAGUCGAGCAGGUACGAAAGUAGGACAAAGUGAUCCGGUGGUUCUGUAUGGAAGGGCCAUCGCUCAACGGAUAAAAGGUACUCUGGGGAUAACAGGCUGAUACCGCCCAAGAGUUCAUAUCGACGGCGGUGUUUGGCACCUCGAUGUCGGCUCAUCUCAUCCUGGGGCUGUAGCCGGUCCCAAGGGUAUGGCUGUUCGUCAUUAGAGAGGUACGUGAGCUGGGUUUAAAACGUCGUGAGACAGUUUGGUCCCUAUCUCCCGUGGGCGCUGCAAGAUUGAGAGAGCCUGCUCCUAGUACGAGAGGACCGGAGUGGACGCACCUCUGGUGUAUCGGUUGUCACGCCAGUGGCAUCGCCGAGUAGCUAAGUGCGGAAGAGAUAACCGCUGAAAGCAUCUAAGCGGGAAACUCGUCUCAAGAUGAGUCUUGCCGGGGCCUAGAGCCCCCUGAAGGGUCGUUCGAGACCAGGACGUUGAUAGGCUGGGUGUGGAAGCGCAGUAAUGCGUUAAGCUAACCAGUACUAAUUGCCCGUGAGGCUUGACCCC